rnacentral:tRNA from 1 species
GCGCCUGUGGGGUAGCCGGAUAACCUGUCGGAUUGUCGAUCCGAAGAUCGCGAGUUCAAAUCUCGUCAGGCGCG